UACGUAGGGGGCAAGCGUUGUCCGGAUUUAUUGGGCGUAAAGCGCUCGCAGGUGGUCCGAUGCGUCGUGCGUGAAAGACCCCGGCUCAACUGGGGGGCGUCGUGCGAUACGGUCGGACUGGAGGCCAGUAGGGGGAUGCGGAAUUCCGGGUGUAGUGGUGAAAUGCGUAGAGAUCCGGAGGAACCCCAGAGGCGAAGGCGGCGCCCUGGCUCGCAACUGACGCUCAGACACGACAGCAUGGGGAGCGAACGGG
rnacentral:rRNA from 1 species